rnacentral:rRNA from 1 species
AUGCAACAUCAAAGAUUGAUUCUAAUUGAUUGGCAUUUUCAAGAAGCUGCUCGUUUGGACAACUGCAUGGUUUAUGAUGAGGAUGAUGACAACUUCGGUUUCAAGACCCUGAAGAAGUGUUACCUCUUGAAGUUUACCUUCGUAGGGCUGUGGAUUGGAUUGACGACGUGGAUACAACCUUCUGAGUCAGAUGCUGGAGGACGUGGUGGACUGUCGAUCUGCUCCACAGCCCGGCAGGUGGCAGUGCAGACGAGCGUCGCCGGCUCAAGAGGAUUUGAUGAUGUCCAGGGCAUGGAUGAGGCCAAGCAGGAGCUUCUUGAGGUGAAUAUGCAUAACUUUUUUGAGGUUUUGUGCACAUGCCGAAGGAAGAAGCUUGAACAUCCAUUUCCCGGUGCACUAAUAAUCAAUACUAGUUGCUCAUGCUAGAAGAGAAAAAGGGGAAAACAUUGGAAAAAGAGUUGCAAUUAGGAUGAACAAGAGUUUUGUAAAAGAGGAGCUGAGAGGGCACAUCAAGAUGGAAGCUCACUUUUCAGGUCCAUGGCCAGCAAAGCGUGGGACAACAGUUGUGGCAAUGGAGAACAUGGUAGAUGGAGAAGGGGAGGUCAAGGGGGGAGGUUUGGGGAGCUGUGACUGGGAAGGUGGAAGCGGCGCGAGGUGCUACUAAGAUCAUGCCAUGAUCGCUAAUGGUUAUGAGCGCUAAUAACCAUUAGGAGGGUUUGGUGCGUCAGCUGUCAUGAUUGCUUAUGUCGUUAGGGGGAGUAGCAGUUACGAUCACGACAGAUUCUCCCUUGGAGGCCAUGUGCGUGAGGGACUGUUUCUUUCCUUUUUAGUUUGCCAGUUGGAUCUGGGAGAGGUCCACUACCAAUUUAAGGGUGUGUGCCCUGGGCCGCUAGCCAGCCAACGGUUGCUGGCUAGUCGCGUCCCAAAAAUAAACACAGAAACACCCAGAGAAAUUUGGUAAACAAGCCAUAACCAGUCCCGAGCACUUGGGCGUCAAUAACUGUAGCAAAUUAAGAGCAGAAAUCAGCAUCAACAGGAACCCUAUUAGAGCACAAAUAUUGGGUACGAAGGGACUGUAGUGGCGAAGGGAAAUAUGCAGCAAAGUUGAAGAUGAAGGGACGAACUACUGGAGAAGCACAGCUCCUGGAUGUUACUGCAUCACUGCCGGAUGAAGAAGGGGGAGAACCUGGGUAUUGACACUGCAUAUGUAGGUAACUCGCCAACAUCACAUUCUGCGCAAUCCCAUAGCUCUGCAAAUAUAUCAAAAACAACACACAUAAACAGGGGAGGCAUUCACUCACACCUUUCAAACCUGGGGGAGCAUGGCAAACUUUGAAGAAUACACGAACGAUGCGAGGCGAUGGGUGAGCGCCAGGUCAGGGUAGGCGGGGCGGCCCCACCUAUCCGUAGCUUCAUGGAGCCGUGGAUUAAGCAGACAAACAUGGACUUUGUUCGUUUAUUAGUACAGGCAGAAGAUCGUCUCCCUCUACGACAGAAUGGUUACGUUUUUCGCCCAUUGUAAUACUACUUUUCUAAUUCACCUGUUCCACAAGGAGCAUGAUAUGAAUACCAGAAGAACAUAUUAUUUAAGCGAUUUGUGGCGUAGUAGUAAAAUUGAUAGCAGAAGAUGAAAGGAUAAUGUAUGGAGUAAUUACCUGUCCAAAAUCCAUUUGAGAGAUGAUGAAUGGAUGAUCACAAGAGUGGGCAGUAGGAAAGCUGCAGAAUUUGUCCAAAUCAAUUGUGCACACGUAGCAUGAACA